rnacentral:lncRNA from 1 species
UGGGCACACAGAAGCUGUUGACGCAGGAUUACGCGACGCUUUGGGCCAUUUCAGUCUAGCUGGUGCGCUUACUGUGGACACUGCCCGGCGCAUCAUGCCAGCCUCGUGCCACGUCAAAUGUGCGCAAGUACAUCGUGCGUCAUGCAUCCGCUGUGGCGCCUGUGCGAAGUGCAGCUCUCGAUGAAG